UGGUAUAGGCCCUUCAUAUACAGGUGGUGGUGGCGGCGAUGAAUAUACCGGUGGUGGAGGUGAGGGAUAUGCAUAUACUGGUGAUGGUGGGGGUGAGGUGUAUACCGGUGGUGGCGGUGAGGGAUAGGCAUAUACUGGUGAUGGUGGUGGUGAUGGGGAUGGUGGUGGGUGAUAAGGUGUUUGAUGUGGCGCUGGCGAUGAUGGUGGUGGAGGUUCUACACAAGGUGGCGGUGGAGGUGGUGGAGGUUCUACACAAGGUGGUGGAGAUGGCGGUGGUGGUGAAUAGACUGGUGGUGGAGGUGAGUGUACUGGAGGAGGUGGUGGGGGUGAUAAAUAUGGAUAUACGGGUGGAGGAGGUGAGUGAGGUGGUG
rnacentral:lncRNA from 1 species